CGGGGAAUAUUGCGCAAUGGGCGAAAGCCUGACGCAGCAACGCCGCGUGAGGGAUGAAGGCUCUCGGGUUGUAAACCUCUUUCAGCAGGGACGAUUGUGACGGUACCUGCAGAAGAAGCCCCGGCCAACUACGUGCCAGCAGCCGCGGUAACACGUAGGGGGCGAGCGUUGUCCGGAUUUAUUGGGCGUAAAGAGCUCGUAGGCGGUUUGGUAAGUCGGGUGUGAAAACUCUGGGCUCAACUCAGAGACGCCACCCGAUACUGCUAUGACUUGAGUCCGGUAGGGGAGUAUGGAAUUUCCGGUGUAGCGGUGAAAUGCGCAGAUAUCGGAAGGAACACCAGUAGCGAAGGCGGUACUCUGGGCCGGAACUGACGCUGAGGAGCGAAAGCGUGGGGAGCGAACAGGAUUA
rnacentral:rRNA from 1 species